UACGUAGGGGGCAAGCGUUGUCCGGAUUUAUUGGGCGUAAAGAGCUCGUAGGCGGUUUGUCGCGUCUGCCGUGAAAGUCCGGGCUCAACUCCGGAUCUGCGGUGGGUACGGGCAGGCUAGAGGUAGGUAGGGGAGAAUGGAAUUCCCGGUGUAGCGGUGAAAUGCGCAGAUAUCGGGAGGAACACCGGUGGCGAAGGCGGUUCUCUGGGCCUUACCUGACGCUGAGGAGCGAAAGCGUGGGGAGCGAACAGG
rnacentral:rRNA from 1 species